CGAGGCAAGCACUCUACCAACUGAAGUAUAUCCCCAGUCCCAGAGCUCACACUGUGGGAACCACCAUCUGCAAAACAGGAAGAGAGGCCUCACCAGAAACCAACCUUGCCUGCACCUCCACCUUGGACUUCAAGCCUUCCAACUGUGAGAAAAUACAUUUCUGUUAUACUAUAACUAUACUUUGUUAUAGUAGCUUGAGCAGAAGAAGACAGACUCUGAAUGAUCUCAUUAUCUUCAAAACUGAAAAAAUCCUAAGGAGGAACAGACUUCUGGACCAGAAUUCAUGCCUGGACAACAGUUCCUAAGAAUAUCUUCCAGGAAUAUGCACAACAGUUCCUAAGGAUAUCUUCCAGGAGUAUGUAGAAGAGGUCUGCUAUAAUGCAGACCUUAAAUUGUUUGAAAUUCAUAUUAACUCAAUAUAUCUGAAAUCAUCAAAUACCCCGGAAUACACUUAAACCUUGUUUCUACAUUUUUUUCCCCACCUUGCUUAUACAACUAGUAAGGUGAUGUCAUGGUUGUCACCCAAACAUAUAAAAACGGUUCUUCUCAGGUCUUCUGAGUUGCACUUACUGCAGUA